UAGGGAAUCUUCCACAAUGGACGCAAGUCUGAUGGAGCAACGCCGCGUGAGUGAAGAAGGUUUUCGGACCGUAAAGCUCUGUUGUUGGUGAAGAAGGAUAGAGGUAGUAACUGGCCUUUAUUUGACGGUAAUCAACCAGAAAGUCACGGCUAACUACGUGCCAGCAGCCGCGGUAAUCGUAGGUGGCAAAGCGUUGUCCGGAUUUAUUGGGCGUAAAGCGAGCGCAGGCGGAAGAAUAAGUCUGAUGUGAAAGCCCUCGGCUUAACCGAGGAAUUGCAUCGGAAACUGUUUUCUUGAGUGCAGAAGAGGAGAGUAGAACUCCAUGUGUAGCGGUGGAAUGCGUAGAUAUAUGGAAGAAUACCAGUGGCGAAGGCGGCUCUCUGGUCUGCAACUGACGCUGAGGCUCGAAAGCAUGGGUAGCGAACAGGAUUAGAUACCCUGGUAGUCCAUGCCGUAAACGAUGAGUGCUAAGUGUUGGGAGGCUUCCGCCUCUCAGUGCUGCAGCUAACGCAUUAAGCACUCCGCCUGGGGAGUACGACCGCAG
rnacentral:rRNA from 1 species